rnacentral:tRNA from 1 species
GAGAAAGUAUGCAAGAACUGCUAAUUCAUGCCUCCGUGCCUAACGAACACGGCUCUCUCA